GUCAAGUUAGCAAAAUAGUGCAAAUAGUUUAGAACUAUUAUAUGAAGGUUAAAAUCCAUCAUUUGAUA